AGCCUUCUGAAUCCAUGUCCAGAUUUUGUCAUGCGCAAAAACAAUAGUACUGAUAAAGCUCCCAAGAUACGCAAAGUA
rnacentral:pre_miRNA from 1 species